GACGAACCGUCCAAACGUUAUUCGGAAUUACUGGGCUUAAAGGGUGCGUAGGCGGCGCGGAAAGUUGGGUGUGAAAUCCCUCGGCUCAACCGAGGAACUGCGCUCAAUACUACCGUGCUCGAGGGAGAUAGAGGUGAGCGGAACUUAGGGUGGAGCGGUGAAAUGCGUUGAUAUCCUAAGGAACACCGGUGGCGAAAGCGGCUCACUGGAUCUCUUCUGACGCUGAGGCACGAAAGCUAGGGUAGCAAACGGG
rnacentral:rRNA from 1 species